GGACCAAUGAUGAUUACUGGUGGUUUGAAUCAUGGAUGAUAAAUAACAUGUGUCAGAAACUCUGAGGUCCAGCAAAAAAAAAAAAAUCUAAGUCAGUCUUUCUGUAGGGAUCCUGUAGGUAGAAGUCAGGGAUAUACAAAGAUCUUGUUUAUUUCUUGUGUUCUUUCAUGAAUUUUCACUUCAUUAUUAUAGUCAGAGCAGGGAAAUAAAUAAUCAAAUAAGUAAAUAAAAGAAAUGGAGUGUGUGAAUAUCUCAUAUAAAAAUUUGUAUUCACGCAAGAAAUGCUGUAAAAAAUUGAGAAGACACUUAAAACCAAAGAGAAAGAAAGAGUACAUGACUUAAAUUUUUGGCUAAUUUAAUACAGACAAUAGUAAGUAAUAGUCGUGGCUCACCUUCUGUGUCAGGGAUAAGUUUUAAGUUCAUUUUCUUAAGAGAAAAUGAAACAUACUCCAAAUAAAAGAUUGUCUAAAUCACUGAAAAGUGAAAUGCGCAAGUAAGGACCAAUGACAAUUAGGUCUCGAUUCGUGGACAUCGCCUCUGCCCCGUACGUCACGGAAUGGGUGCCUUGAGAUGAUUUAAGUUUCCUCCAAGAUCAAGAGCCCUCUGGUUGCAUCUUUGUGUUAGAAUCAUGGAGAACAAUGGAAUCGUCAGUGUCCUUGUGUGGGACGGAGCCAUGUUUUUAGAUAAGGUAUUACUGUAUUAUUAAAAAUAUUAAGUAUAAUCAAAGAAGUCCAAACACGCCACUGUCAGUGACCAUGGAUGGAAAAGAAUGUGAUGCUAUAUCCGUAUAUGAUACACUGAAUUCAGUUAAUGAAAGGGCUGGGUCUCCGCGGAGGUGACUUUAUAGACUGAUGUUAGGAUUAUUCAAAGGACUUACAAUUUUUUUUGUGAUUGAUGUUUAUUUAAGUAAUUGUGAAUUAAUCAAAACAAAAAUGUCCAUGAACGAGAAAAGAGCCAGUGUGCUUCUGUGGGAAAUGAUGCCCAAGAUCAAAGUUAGGAAGAGACAAACGUCAGAUUCCCAUUUGGAGUUUAUAAAUGUAAAUGUAUAAUUAAUAAUACAUAGAAGAACAAUUGUAAAAUAAAACAACCAUAUAAAAGAAGCUGAAGGAUUGUCAUAUGAAACAUGUGGUAGGACAAGAAACACUAUUUUUUUUUUCUUUUUUUGGCUUUUGCCAUUUCUUGGGAUGCUCCCGCAGCAUAUGAAUGUUCCCAGGCUAGGGGUCUGACUGGAGCUGUAGCUGCUGGCCUACGCCAGAGUCCACAGCAAUGCAGGAUCUGAGCCCCGUCCGCAAGCUACACCAUAGCUCAGGGCAACGCAGAUCCUUAACCCACUGAGCAAGGCCAGGGAUCGAACCCGCAACCUCAUGGUUCCUAGUUGGAAUCGUUAACCACUGAGCCACGACAGGAACUCCAAGAAGUACUAUUAAUAAAACUGUAAUUGUUUGUUAUAAUUAAGCAGUAAAUGAGUAGGCAUUUUGCAUGUUCGUGGAAAGGAUCCUACAGAUACUGAUGAAUGAGAGCCAACAUUUUUGUGUGGUAUCAGUCUCUUUUAAAGGGUUUGUGUAUAAGAGGAAAACUACCAUAUUAACAAACUAUUAUGUUUAGAAUGGAUAAGCAGAGAGGUCCUGCUGUACAGCACGGUGAACAGUAUCCCAACUCUCGAGGUAGAAAAUGAUGGAAGACCGUAGGAAAAAAUAAUGUGUAUCAGUAUAUGACUAUGCUGCACAGCAGAAAUGGGCACAGCAAUGUAAAUCAACUAUACGUAAAAAUUGUUAUGAAAAUAAAAAUUUAAUGAGUGCAUAAAAAAGGAAACGUCCAUUAAAAGAAAUACGGAGAUUAAGUGAGAAUUUCUUAAAUUAAUUUAUAUGAAAAUUUAAAAACUUACAUUGGGGGGCCUGGGAAAGGGAAUUCCAUGUUUAAAAAAAAAGAAAAGGAAACGAAAGGGAGAGGGAGUAAAGGCAAGACCAAAUUGCACAGUCCAUGGUGACAGGUAUCAUGAGACGCUUCCCAUCCCACGGACCCCUGGAAGUUCAGGUAGGGUAUUGAUAUCUUACCCAGCCCUUUAAUAAAUUGAUCAACAAAGAAGGUCAAGCUAAGGGAACACAGGAGGGACAGUAUUGGAUUGAAGAUGACUCCUGGUGGCAUAUGCGUCCUGUACGAUGAAAACCUGUCUGAAACUCCGAGGUCCACUGAAGAAAGAAUCUGGUUCAAUGUCCACAAAGCAGUGACCCAAUAGGCCGAGGUCAGGAAACGACGAGGGUGACUGACAGAGCACGGGCAUUCCAGCGUUUUCCUGGUGUUAGCCCAAUGGGAAAAUGUGAGCACCCGUCCGGCAGUAUCAGAGAACUGAAUCUAGAGAGAAAGGGAGUGAAGGCAUUUGCCAGGUCCUUGGUGACCCUCAUGGUAUGCCGCAUGCCAGGCUAUGGCCAGGUGUGUGUGUGGAAGCCGCGAGCCUGGAGAAUGGCUGUGCCAUUGGGUCUCCUCCUCUUGGCUUUGUACUCCUCAGUGUGCAGCCGCCGGACCCGAAGGCCGGCUCCUUCCUGGAUGAGCAGGCGAGGAUGGCAGCGUUGUCUUUGGAGCCAGGGGACCAGUGGUGGAAGCCGAAGGCCAGGCCAGGCUGCGUGGGGCCGAGACCCCUCCUCUGGCGGUGGUGGCAGGAGAGAUCCCAAGGGUGGAAGCCGAAGGCCAGGCCAGGCUGCGUGGGGCCGAGACCCCUCCUCUGGCGGUGGUGGCAGGAGAGAUCCCAAGGUGAGUCAUGGCCCCAUGCUGCUGUCUCAGUUUGGGUCAUUGGGAUAAGGGUUUUCAUUGUCUUCUUACAAAAUAGUAAAUGUAAUCAAAAUUUAACUAUGGUCUAUUGAUA
rnacentral:lncRNA from 1 species